rnacentral:rRNA from 1 species
CCGGAAUUAUUGGGUUUAAAGGGUGCGUAGGCGGCCAUUUAAGUCAGCGGUGAAAUUUUGCAGCUUAACUGUAACAGUGCCGUUGAUACUGUUUGGCUAGGAUUUGGUUGUAGUGUGCGGAAUGUGUGGUGUAGCGGUGAAAUGCUUAGAUAUCACACAGAACACCGAUUGCGAAGGCAGCACACUAAGUCAUUAUUGACGCUGAGGCACGAAAGUGUGGGGAUCAAACAGGAUUAGAUACCCUGGUAGUCCACACUGUAAACGAUGAUAACUCGCUGUCGGCGAUACACAGUCGGUGGCCAAGCGAAAGCAUUAAGUUAUCCACCUGGGGAGUACGACCGCAAGGUUGAAACUCAAAGGAAUUGACGGGGGCCCGCACAAGCGGAGGAACAUGUGGUUUAAUUCGAUGAUACGCGAGGAACCUUACC